UACGUAGGGCGCAAGCGUUAUCCGGAAUCACUGGGCGUAAAGCGUCUGUAGGUGGUCAAAUAAGUCAACUGUUAAAUCUUGAGGCUCAACCUCAAAAACCGCAGUCGAAACUAUUAGACUAGAGUAUAGUAGGGGUAAAGGGAAUUUCCAGUGGAGCGGUGAAAUGCGUAGAGAUUGGAAAGAACACCGAUGGCGAAGGCACUUUACUGGGCUAUGACUAACACUCAGAGACGAAAGCUAGGGUAGCAAAUGGG
rnacentral:rRNA from 1 species